AGUGAACGCUGGCGGUAGGCCUAACACAUGCAAGUCGAACGGCAGCACAGUAAGAGCUUGCUCUUACGGGUGGCGAGUGGCGGACGGGUGAGGAAUACAUCGGAAUCUACUUUUUCGUGGGGGAUAACGUAGGGAAACUUACGCUAAUACCGCAUACGACCUACGGGUGAAAGCAGUGGAUCUUCGGACCUUGCGCGAUUGAAUGAGCCGAUGUCGGAUUAGCUAGUUGGCGGGGUAAAGGCCCACCAAGGCGACGAUCCGUAGCUGGUCUGAGAGGAUGAUCAGCCACCCUGGAACUGAGACACGGUCCAGACUCCUACGGGAGGCAGCAGUGGGGAAUAUUGGACAAUGGGCGCAAGCCUGAUCCAGCCAUACCGCGUGGGUGAAGAAGGCCUUCGGGCUGUAAAGCCCUUUUGUUGGGAAAGAAAAGCAGCAGGUUAAUACCCCGCUGUUCUGACGGUACCCAAAGAAUAAGCACCGGCUAACUUCGUG
rnacentral:rRNA from 1 species